CCUAGCUUCUGACCUGUAAAGAUCUCUCUGCAGCUCUGAUAAAAGGAGGCUAUCUCGUGGGAAGAUUUUACAUGGGGUUACUGAAGCAGCAAGUGCAUGUUUAUUUGUUACACACAAUAUUCUACGAGAUAAGGUGACGUGCGCAAGUUUCUUUGUCAGGUCUACAAGUGUUUCAGAUAAUCAGUAAAUCAGUAAG